UACCGGAUAGGAGCGUCCACCGCAUGGUGGGUGUUGGAAAGAUUUACGGUUUUGGAUGGACUCGCGGCUAUCAGCUUGUUGGUGAGGUAAUGGCUCACCAAGGCACGACGGGUAGCCGGCCUGAGAGGGUGACCGGCCACACUGGGACUGAGACACGGCCCAGACUCCUACGGGAGGCAGCAGUGGGGAAUAUUGCACAAUGGGCGCAAGCCUGAUGCAGCGACGCCGCGUGAGGGAUGACGGCCUUCGGGUUGUAAACCUCUUUCAGUAGGGAAGAAGCGAAAGUGACGGUACCUGCAGAAGAAGCACCGGCUAACUACGUGCCAGCAGCCGCGGUAAUACGUAGGGUGCGAGCGUUAUCCGGAAUUAUUGGGCGUAAAGAGCUCGUAGGCGGUUUGUCGUGUCUGUCGUGAAAGUCCGGGGCUUAACCCCGGAUCUGCGGUGGGUACGGGCAGACUAGAGUGCAGUAGGGGAGACUGGAAUUCCUGGUGUAGCGGUGGAAUGCGCAGAUAUCAGGAGGAACACCGAUGGCGAAGGCAGGUCUCUGGGCUGUAACUUACGCUGAGGAGCGAAAGCAUGGGGAGAGAACAGGAUUAGAUACCCUGGUAGUCCAUGCCGUAAACGUUGGGCACUAGGUGUGGGGACCAUUCCCACGGUUUCCGCGCCGCAGCUAACGCAUUAAGUGCCCCGCCUGGGGAGUACGGCCGCAAGGCUAAAACUCAAAGGAAUUGACGGGGGCCCGCACAAGCGGCGGAGCAUGCGGAUUAAUUCGAUGCAACGCGAAGAACCUUACCAAGGCUUGACAUUUCUCGAUCGCCGUAGAGAUACGGUUUCCCCUUUGGGGGCGGGUUCACAGGUGGUGCAUGGUUGUCGUCAGCUCGUGUCGUGAGAUGUUGGGUUAAGUCCCGCAACGAGCGCAACCCUCGUUCCAUGUUGCCAGCACGUAGUGGUGGGGACUCAUGGGAGACUGCCGGGGUCAACUCGGAAGGAAGGUGAGGACGACGUCAAAUCAUCAUGCCCCUUAUGUCUUGGGCUUCACGCAUGCUACAAUGGCCGGUACAAUGGGUUGCGAUACUGUGAGGUGGAGCUAAACCCAAAAUAGCCGGUCUCAGUUCGGAUUGGGGUCUGCAACUCGACCCCAUGAAGUCGGAGUCGCUAGUAAUCGCAGAUCAGCAACGCUGCGGUGAAUACGUUCCCGCGGCCUUGUACACACCGCCCGUCAAGUCACGAAAGUCGGUAACACCCGAAGCCGGUGGCCUAACCCUUGUGGGGGGAGCCGUCGAA
rnacentral:rRNA from 1 species